rnacentral:rRNA from 1 species
CGAACGGGUGAGUAAUGCGUGACCAACCUGCCCCAUGCUCCAGAAUAGCUCUUGGAAACGGGUGGUAAUGCUGGAUGCUCCAACUUGACGCAUGUCUUGUUGGGAAAGUGUUUAGUGGCAUGGGAUGGGGUCGCGUCCUAUCAGCUUGUAGGCGGGGUAAUGGCCCACCUAGGCUUCGACGGGUAGCCGGCCUGAGGGGGCGGACGGCCACAUUGGGACUGAGAUACGGCCCAGACUCCUACGGGAGGCAGCAGCC